AUUGCUUCUCUGCCUUUUGGCUAAGAUCAAGUGUAGUAUCUGUUCUUAUUAGUUUCAUAUCUGAUACGUCCCCUAUCUGGAGACCAUAUAUUAAAUGGAUUUUUGAGAAAGUAGGUCGAUUUCGAAGCUUGCUUCUGUCACGCUAUGCAUUAACCCAAUAUGGCAGUAUCGUCGGGUAAAGUGCACCAAAA